AUGUCAUUAGCACCUCUAGUAAUAUAUUUACUGAGAAAAAAUGUUGACGUGUUCAAUACUUAUUUUACCCGCAGUAUUAAAUGUUGAAAUAUCACAAUUAUUUCAGAACGAGAUUUGUGCUGAAAAACAGAUGAAAUAAAAAGAUUUGUACCAUCAUGACGGAUAAAAGAUAAAAAAUGAAGGAGAUUUUGCUUUGAAUAAAUCAGCUGAAAGUCCUUAUCAUCACAUCUUGUCUCCAGUCUCCUGGUUCAGGUUCUGGUUCUGCUCCGGUUCAGGUUCUGCACUUACCCUGAAGGUUUCCAAACAAAGAAACAAAUCCUUUCUGAUGACUCAGCACUGACCUUCAUCCUGUCGGAGAAGAUUCAUCCGAUCGGAUCAAAGAACCAGUUGUUUGAUCACAUGGAACACGUGAAAGUGCUGGAACGUUCCUUUAAAGCUGCUGUGGCCCUCUGAGGUCACAUGACCCUCUGAGGUCACAUGACCCUCUGAGGUCACAUGACCUGCGGGCCUCUCACCUGAGCUGUCAUUGGUCGGUGAACGUGUGACUGUCGUGUCGUUUUAUUUGUGCUUCUAUUUUGUGUAAGCUCCGCCCUCUAAGGCUAUCGAUAGCCUUAGAGGGCGGAGCUUACACUCAUAGAAGCUUGGGUUACAAUACGUAACCAUCGUUCUCUGUAAAACAGGAAGUUCGAUGUCCACGUGUUUUUUUUUACGCGGUUGUUUUUCAUCGAUGGAGAAGUUUUGUAAAUAAAUGUCUUUUUUAACCAA